AUGCUGACAUAAGUAACGAUAAAGCGGGUGAAAAGCCCGCUCGCCGGAAGACCAAGGGUUCCUGUCCAACGUUAAUCGGGGCAGGGUGAGUCGACCCCUAAGGCGAGGCCGAAAGGCGUAGUCGAUGGGAAACGGGUUAAUAUUCCCGUACUUGGUGUUACUGCGAAGGGGGGACGGAGAAGGCUAUGUUGGCCGGGCGACGGUUGUCCCGGUUUAAGCGUGUAGGUGUGUGUUCCAGGUAAAUCCGGUUCACUUUAACACUGAGGCGUGAUGA
rnacentral:rRNA from 2 species